GGCAGACGAUCCACUGCCUUCAUUUGAGGCCGUUCCCAAUCUACAUCCGAAUCGGCACCAUUGCAAACAGUUCACGCCCGUGACACCGGCCCGUCGUGGUCGUGGCCGACCUCCAGGGUCGCGAAGUCUGACCCGAGCUGACGCCGAUAAAAAUUCUGUUAUCUCGCACGAAUUUCCAGAGCUUCAGCGACCCCCAAACCUUCUUAACAACUACGGAACUCAAGUGAAAAUCGACCCACUCCCAGUCGAACCAGUCCUUGAUCGACUCAGCAUAACGGCUAUCCUGAUGCCUUUAAAUCUGAAGAUCGAGCGCACAUAUAGCCAGACCCUGAUCAAGGCUCUACGUUGUUGUGCGGACUCUUGGCCAUUCAACAUCUCGUCGAUCUGGAUGCAUUAUGGAGAAAAUCUAGAUAAUGACUUCCAUGAUGAGCCUCUGGAUUGGGACAUACUGGAGAAGAUGCUGGCGGGCGAGCAGUUUAAGGG
rnacentral:lncRNA from 1 species